GUGCGUCUUCAUCACCAUGGUGAUCAGCACGCUUCAGGCUCCAAACGCAUUCCUCCGCAGCCUGCGUCCCAGGGACAGAAGGAGCCAGCGAAGCUGAGUCUGCUAAAGGAGGGUGGCCCGUCCCCCAGUCUCUGAGAAUUGAGUGACCAGGGCGCUGCCUCUUGCCCGCAGGAAGGCCAGCCUUUGGAGACUUUCCUUGUCAGCCUCCAAAGCACACAUUUCCAUCACCUAAAACUGAUUCAGGAACUCAAGCUGCUAAGAGAAGGAGACUCUACAGAUGACACCUGGAAAUCUGGGCUGAAUCAGAGGCUGCAGGAUUCACCGGGGGCAUCCAGAAGGCGCAGGCUUGGUGGUGACAGAAAACAUCCCAGAAACACCCACAGGAAUCCUCUUUUGGAAGGUUCUCCGAAGGAUGGAGCAAAAAACAAAAUGUAGGGGCCUCCAGAGAGCCUCUUGCUUCUAAGGAAAUUGUGAGACCAACAGUUCCUCCUUAAGGCUCUUGGGCUCCUCGGGCCCAAUUGAAUCAGAAUCUUGGGGGUGGCCGGUGGGCUCUGAUGGGAGUUUUUUCCAGGUGACAGUCCACAGCCCUGAUGGAAACUCCAGGUGAGGCUCUGAGGAUUAUCACGUGCUUGAGGGAAGCUACCAGAAUUGGGAGUUUUCUUGAAGGGCCAGCAAGGAGGCGCUGACCUCGAGUGGGGCAGGAUCAUUUGUGAACGUGCUCCUGAUAUUGAGAAGGCCUGUAGGGCCACAGUCCCUGUGAAUGAGAGGGGAGUUAGGAUUUGGGGGUGGGGGGUGAAGUUCUGGUAGGACAGCGAUGGUCUCGGGCAGUCGUGGUCCUUGCCUGGGGCUCGGCGCUUUAGGGGACCCAGCUCUGGCCCCAGGAGUCCUCCGGAGCUGAGAAGACCUACUUGCCCAGAGUCUGCGCACUCUUUCUGAAACCAUGCCCUGGUUCCCUGGGAUUCUGGAAUACCCACCCGAGUGCCCUGAGCCUACUUCCGGACACGUGAGACCUCCGCCCUGGGUUCACCUUCCCCAGGGAACGCGGUGCAUCAAGUCGUGCUCCCGAGGGGCAGCCAGGGGGUGGCUGGCUGCCAGCUGCUGUGGAGAGCCUGGGCUGAGCCGUCCAGACACCCACAACUCACAAGGCCACUUGCGAUGCCGACGUUCUCCUGCUGUUUGCACUACAGACGCACUGUAAAUGUGUUUCUGCGUGAACUUCUGCAUGUUCCUGUGAGGUUUUGUGAUCUUCCAAGUGAACAACCUGGCAGUGCCAACAUUGGUACCGAAGAAAAGAACUGCUGGAGAAGUCUCAUUCAAGGUUCAGUGAUAGUGGGAAACAUGACCACGUCUGUGAGUCCACACGGCAGGGACUCAAACAAGGAAACUUCUCCCACUCGAGUCGUAAAAUCAUUGUUCCUUCUUUGUAAUUGUUUUUGGCAUUCUGCUAACAAGCACUGACAGAAUGACUCGUUGAUCUAGUUCGGUCUUGUCUUCUCUGUGUGAAUACGGUUGUGUGUAUUUGUGGAUUUGUGUUAAUCCUCCACGUAGUAUUUCCAAAUAACAGUGAAGACGGAGUUACUCUUCUAAAGGGCUUGCUCUCAUUGUCAGCCCUGGGGGUUUGUCCUGGGAAGCCUAUCAGGGCUGAAACUUCACCAGCAGAGAUAGAAGAGGUUCCGUUUGCCCUCUUGUCAAUCCAAGCCCACGUACUGGGAGCAUUAAGAGAAAAGCAGAAAGAGGACUUUGAGUGUGGACAUGAUAUUUGGAGCUGUGGCAGCAAUAUUGUGACCAUGAGGGAAAGGCCAGGAGAAUCACAUAUAAGUCAGCCCAGAACUCUGACACUACACAGCCACCAAACCAACUACCUACUUCAGGACUUCCUGUUAGAUACUGAACGUCAUAAUAACGGCACCCACCUUACAGAGUGAGUGAGAGGCUCAGUGGAGCUGGUGCAUGUUCAGCUCGGUGCCUGGAACACACAGGCUGCACAUUACAUAACAAAUGGCUUAUACGACUCUUACCACGGAGAUCAGGCCUGUGUCAGUGUCCUGGGGCUGCCAUCACAAGUUACAGCAACCUGUAUGGCUUACAACAACAGAAAUUGAUCGUCUCACAGUGCUGGAGGCUCCAAAUCUGAAAUCAAGGGCCGAGGUUUCAAUUUCUGCAGAAGGUGGUGGAAUAUCUCCUUGGCGCACCAGGUCCUGCAUUUUAACUCUGGAGCUAAGGAUUUAAUUCUUCACUCAUAGUAGGUGCCAAAC